AAUAAGACAAGAUAUUAUAUUGCCACUAUAUAAGUCUAUGGUGCGCCCACACCUUGAAUACUGUGUCCAGUUCUGGUCGCCCCAUCUCCAAAAGGAUACAGUUGAACUGGAAAAGGUUCAGAAGACACCAACAAAAAUGAUUAAAGGUCUAGAAAACAUGAUCUAU